AGGAUUCUAUUAUGGGCUAAAGUGAAGGAUACAAUUAGAAUGUUUACUGGAACUCAGCUUUUGAGGGUUCUUAAGCCAAGAGAAGAGUGGAAGCAAGAGUUCAAGUUUGAACCUUUUACGGUUACAGAGCUGUAAGGAAAUGAAUAACUAGAAGUUUUUCAUUUGGGAUGGAAAAAAAAAUAUAUAUAUAUGUAUAAAACAAAGCAGAUUCCCAUUCAGGCUUUGCUGAGUAUCACACAAAGAAAUGAUUUUGGACCUAAAGGAAAACCAUUUUUCUGGGGACAGUGCUUUCCUGCUAACAAUCCAUGGAGGGAGACUAGCCGCUGUCUUUCUUCAGCCCCAUGUUACCUCUUCUGUCCAUCAUGUUCUUUCAAAGAGACAGAAGUAUCUCUGACAUAAUGUUGGACAGUUCAUCCAGUCUUGGGUUUGAAGCAGCAUAUAAGAUAAGGAAACUGAGGCUUAAGCAGAGAGAGUGACUCACCAAAAGACACACAAGAAGGAGAUCCAGAAUUUGAAACUAGGUCUUCUAAAAUCCACUUAAUUGUACUCUUUCUCAAUCAUAUUAUUUUGUAUUUAUGAAAUUUGGACAUUGGUUAUGGCAAGGUUGGUUGAUCUUCAUAUGUUACUAUUAUUAUUAUUUUUGCUCAGAUAAUUCUCCUAAUGCUAGAUCCUAAGGAUUGGUGUUAUCAAGACCUACAGCCUAAUGUUAUCUUAUUUGCAUCUCUUCUGCCUUUCUCUAAUGCAAAUUAAAUGCAAAAAAAAGAAAAAUAUAACAUGCCUAUUCACUAUUUUUUCCUACAACUGGUGCCAUACUGUGAAUGAUGGAGAUCAUGAGUUAAGUUUUCUAUGGAUAACAAUUACUCGCCCAAAAUGGGCUAUUUCAUGGCAGAGCCAAGAUGGUGUCUUAGUAGCAGAGAAAUUCAGUCUUCAUGUAGUUAAGCUGCCAUGGUGACUGGUGGUGGAAGAUAGAUUCCUAUUACCAUUGCCUUGAAUGUUAAGAGUAUAAAAAUUGUAACUAUAUAGUAUUCCAAUAUACCAGUGUGCUCUGAUCUCAAUAUAGGUAGUCUUUCUGAAAAUGUAGAUUAGAAUGGAAGGCUGUCUUCUGUUUAUACUAUUAAUAUUUUGCAUAGUCAUAUAUUUCAACAUGUUUUGUCCCCAUUGGAACAUGAAAUCCUCCAGAGUCAGAACUUUGUGUGUUUAUAUAUUUCUUUCUUUCUUCAGUGCUCAAAUGGCACUUGGACAGUAGUAAACAUAUAAUAAAUGGUUGUUGAAAGACUUGAUCCAUAGCCCAUAAAUGCUUUCCUCUCCUCUAUGUUUUCCUAUUUCUUUCCAUAUACCUGCUGAAUAAUGCCCAUUAGAGGUGGGAGAACUUUUCUUCAUCAUGGGAUGAUGAUGGGAUGGCCAUAGACCAUGCUUGUUGCUCCCCCUAAAUUA